rnacentral:rRNA from 1 species
GGUUAAGUGACUAAGCGUACACGGUGGAUGCCUAGGCAGUCAGAGGCGAUGAAGGACGUGCUAAUCUGCGAAAAGCGCCGGUGAGCUGAUAUGAAGCGUUAUCAGCCGGCGAUGUCCGAAUGGGGAAACCCGGUGCAAUUCGUUGCAUCAUCGUUAAGUGAAUCCAUAGCUUAACGAAGCGAACCAGGGGAACUGAAACAUCUCAGUACCCUGAGGAAAAGAAAUCAACCGAGAUUCCCCCAGUAGCGGCGAGCGAACGGGGAACAGCCCAGAGCCAUCAUCAGCUUGCGCAUCAGGAGAACGGUCUGGAAAGUCCGGCGACAGAGGGUGAUAGCCCCGUAUCCGAAGGUGUGCUUGUUGUGAGCUCGAUGAGUAGGGCGGGACACGUGAUAUCCUGUCUGAAGAUGGGGGGACCAUCCUCCAAGGCUAAAUACUCCUGACUGACCGAUAGUGAACCAGUACCGUGAGGGAAAGGCGAAAAGAACCCCGGCGAGGGGAGUGAAAUAGAACCUGAAACCGUGUACGUACAAGCAGUGGGAGCAUCCUUCGGGGUGUGACUGCGUACCUUUUGUAUAAUGGGUCAGCGACUUAUAUUCUGUAGCAAGGUUAACCGCAUAGGGGAGCCGCAGGGAAACCGAGUCUUAACUGGGCGUCUAGUUGCAGGGUAUAGACCCGAAACCCGGUGAUCUAGCCAUGGGCAGGUUGAAGGUUGGGUAACACUAACUGGAGGACCGAACCGACUAAUGUUGAAAAAUUAGCGGAUGACUUGUGGCUGGGGGUGAAAGGCCAAUCAAACCGGGAGAUAGCUGGUUCUCCCCGAAAGCUAUUUAGGUAGCGCCUCGUGACGUCAUCUACGGGGGUAGAGCACUGUUUCGGCUAGGGGUCCAUCCCGGAUUACCAACCCGAUGCAAACUGCGAAUACCGUAGAAUGUAAUCACGGGAGACACACGGCGGGUGCUAACGUCCGUCGUGAAGAGGGAAACAACCCAGACCGCCAGCUAAGGUCCCAAAGUCAUGGUUAAGUGGGAAACGAUGUGGGAAGGCCCAGACAGCCAGGAUGUUGGCUUAGAAGCAGCCAUCAUUUAAAGAAAGCGUAAUAGCUCACUGGUCGAGUCGGCCUGCGCGGAAGAUGUAACGGGGCUAAACCAUGCACCGAAGCUGCGGCAGCGACACGUAAGUGUUGUUGGGUAGGGGAGCGUUCUGUAAGCCUGCGAAGGUGGCCUGUGAGGGCUGCUGGAGGUAUCAGAAGUGCGAAUGCUGACAUAAGUAACGAUAAAGCGGGUGAAAAGCCCGCUCGCCGGAAGACCAAGGGUUCCUGUUCAACGUUAAUCGGAGCAGGGUGAGUCGACCCCUAAGGCGAGGCCGAAAGGCGUAGUCGAUGGGAAACAGGUUAAUAUUCCUGUACUGGGUGUGACUGCGAAGGGGGGACGGAGAAAGCUAGGUUCGCCGGGCGACGGUUGUCCCGGUUCAAGCGUGAAGGUGGAAUGAGCAGGCAAAUCCGCUCAUUCUCAACACUGAGGCGUGAUGACGAGCCACUACGGUGGUGAAGGAAUUGAUGCUACGCUUCCAGGAAAAGCCUCUAAGCUCCAGGUCACAUCGAAUCGUACCCCAAACCGACACAGGUGGUCAGGUAGAGAAUACCCAGGCGCUUGAGAGAACUCGGGUGAAGGAACUAGGCAAAAUGGUGCCGUAACUUCGGGAGAAGGCACGCUGGCAUGUAGGUGGAGGGCCUUGCGCCCCGAGCUGAAGCCAGUCGCAGAUACCAGCUGGCUGCAACUGUUUAUUAAAAACACAGCACUGUGCAAACACGAAAGUGGACGUAUACGGUGUGACGCCUGCCCGGUGCCGGAAGGUUAAUUGAUGGGGUUAUCGCUUGCGAGAAGCUCUUGAUCGAAGCCCCGGUAAACGGCGGCCGUAACUAUAACGGUCCUAAGGUAGCGAAAUUCCUUGUCGGGUAAGUUCCGACCUGCACGAAUGGCGUAAUGAUGGCCAGGCUGUCUCCACCCGAGACUCAGUGAAAUUGAACUCGCCGUGAAGAUGCGGUGUACCCGCGGCAAGACGGAAAGACCCCGUGAACCUUUACUAUAGCUUGACACUGAACAUUGAGCCUUGAUGUGUAGGAUAGGUGGGAGGCUUUGAAGUGUGGACGCCAGUCUGCAUGGAGCCAACCUUGAAAUACCACCCUUUAAUGUUUGAUGUUCUCACUCAGGCCCGUUAUCCGGGCCGAGGACAGUGUCUGGUGGGUAGUUUGACUGGGGCGGUCUCCUCCCAAAGUGUAACGGAGGAGCACGAAGGUUAGCUAAUCACGGUCGGACAUCGUGAGGUUAGUGCAAAGGCAUAAGCUAGCUUGACUGCGAGAGUGACGGCUCGAGCAGGUGCGAAAGCAGGUCUUAGUGAUCCGGUGGUUCUGAAUGGAAGGGCCAUCGCUCAACGGAUAAAAGGUACUCCGGGGAUAACAGGCUGAUACCGCCCAAGAGUUCAUAUCGACGGCGGUGUUUGGCACCUCGAUGUCGGCUCAUCACAUCCUGGGGCUGAAGUAGGUCCCAAGGGUAUGGCUGUUCGCCAUUUAAAGUGGUACGCGAGCUGGGUUUAGAACGUCGUGAGACAGUUCGGUCCCUAUCUGCCGUGGGCGCUGGAAGAUUGAGAGGGGCUGCUCCUAGUACGAGAGGACCGGAGUGGACGCACCACUGGUGUUCGGGUUGUCAUGCCAAUGGCAUUGCCCGGUAGCUACGUGCGGAAGAGAUAACCGCUGAAAGCAUCUAAGCGGGAAACUUGCCUCGAGAUGAGUCUUCCCUGAGGCCUAGAGCCUCCUGAAGGGACGUUAAAGACGAUGACGUUGAUAGGUCGGGUGUGUAAGCGCUGCGAGGCGUUGAGCUAACCGAUACUAAUGACCCGUGAGACUUAACCUU